UCUUUCAAUAUUUUUAACUCUCCCUCCAAUGUUUAUUGGGCAAAAAAAAUUAUUAAUAAAACAUUGCCAACUUUUUUCCCCAAAUUGAAGAAUACACUGUCGAGGCUUUUCUCUCCAACUAUGAAACACGAUUUCCAUGGGAAGAACAAUAGUUCCAAAUCUGAUUUCUUGUUGAAGAGCUGAAGAGGUUGUUCUGUCAUAUUCUCGCUAAAAAGUUGUUCUCACUGAAGGUUACGCCGCGCUGAAGAGUUGUUCUCGCUGAAGAGGUUGUUCGGUCACAUUCUUGUUGAAUCAUUCCCAGAUUGAGUUGUUCCUUCAUAUUCUCAUAAAAGCUUCAUCACAUUGAAAUGAUUUUGUUUAGAUAGGGUUUAUUAGGGUGAACUAGUUGUCUGUUUCAUUGCAGAUGUUGGUCAAGUAGUGAAGGAUACACCUUUACUGCUGUAUCUAUCAAGUUCACUUGAUCAAGUAAACGCGCAGAAAGAGAAAACUUUAUCCUUGCCUUCGAGAUCACAGCUUGCUGUUCAUCCUCCAUAUCAUGAUAUCCAAUGAAAUACUAGUAGUUAAGCCACUAACCUUCAGCCUUAUUUUCUUAGUUUGAUGGAUAGACCCUCGAUGAAGGCUGAUACACCACCAAAUAUGUUUAAACUAGUCUAUAAGUUACUGAAAGCACCUAAAACAUUAUAUUGUUGCUUUUGUAUGUUGUUCAUAUAGCUUUGCAAGUAAAGUAAACUCAUGGAUUAUGUCUUCAAUGCCAGCCGGUCAGUAUUAUUUAAUGUCAUUUGAACACCUCCAAAUUCUCAAUAGGUGCUAACAUUUAAUUCUAUGAAAUAGCUUCUUACAUGGCUUUAUUCUUACCGACAUCAAUCCACUGGUUGCUUUAUUCCACUGGCUCUUGCUUAUUAUUUUGAUGAAGUUCUGAUAUUUAGGAUGCUUGAGUUUAUCAACGUUUAUUAGCCUUCUUCCUUCACUUUGGACCUCUUGGAAACCAUGGAAUUUAAAGUUACCUGCAAAAUUAAAAAAAAAACUAGGUUAAUGAAAUAAUCAACUAGUGCAUUUCCCUCUCUAAAACAGUGUUGUACACUUGUUGUAAUUAUGGUUCUUAGCCCCUUUAUUUCAAAUAAUUGAUCCAUUUAUGUUUUCUUUUUCAAAAACAUAUCAACUUUCUUCUGUUGUUUUAUUUACAUGAUAUCAUAUUCAUUAUUGAGUGAUAGAUGGUGAGUGCAGCUAAAUACUGGUUGUAAUUAAUCUAGAUGCGAUGUUGAAAAUCACCUUAUCUGUGAAAAUUUACUUGUAUUUGAACCGGCCUACUUAAAGUACCUUCUGAAGUUAGAGCAUGUUCUACUUAUAUCACCUUCUUGGCAUUUGGAUUGACUUUUUUCUAGCCACUUCGGAUAGAAGAUUACUUUUAUGUUGCUAUCAUGUUCCAGUGAGUGUUAUGACAUCUGUAUUGGAAUUAGAAUUACGCAAAGAUGUACUACUUUGUGAUUCGUCUUACAUCUACAUAAUCUGUAUUUUUCAUGAUAAGCUGACCUAAUGUACGUGUUUGCUGUGAAUCCGAGAUUAUGACUUGAGUUCUCUAUGACUAGAUCUGUUAUAUUGCGUUUGUAUGUCAUUGGAUUUAAUUGCAUUAUUAUCCAACUCCAUCGUUAUGAAUUGUCAACACACUUUUUUGAUACUUAGUAAUUUCCUUUAUUGAAUUCGAUGUCCCAAAUGUUUGUGGAACUGUGAUAGUGAAUCUUUCCUUGAUAAAUUCUUAUGUUGAUAUAUACCCAUGAACUGUGAUACUGAAUCAUAGCUUUUGCGCUGGUGAAAAUCUUUUUACCACUAUCAAAAAUAAUAUAAGUACAUAACAACAGCACUAUCUUCAGUUCUGAUAAUUCUUAAGAUUCCUCAGCCCUAACCCUCAGUGUUGGAAGCCAAGUUGAAGGAGGAUAACAAAGUAAUUUUCUUUUAAUUCCUACCAUUUUAAAGAGAACAGGAAGUAGUGAGGGGUGCCCGUGAUGAGUUCAGACGAAUAUAUUCUUUUGAUUACUCCAUACUAGUUGUAAAUACUAAGAAUUCACUGCCAUACUAGUUGUAAAUACUAAGAAUUCACUGCCAUUUCGAAUACAUGGAAACCAAUUUAGACAAGAUGUAAGACUGCCUUCUAUUAGUAAUGACAACUUUCACAUUUGCUAAAUUUUUUUUUUGAUGAAGACACAAGGAAUAACGUGAUGUAUAAAAUCCAUACUGUUUCGUUGUUAUUAUGAUGCAUAUUACAAGUGUUGACUCUCACUACGACAUGUGGAAUUUACGGAUGAAAAGAAGAACGAUUCAUUGUCAAUGUUAAUGUCAACUUGGCUGGUCUUCAAACAUUAGUUCUCCGGUGUGGAUUUGUUGAUAGUAGUUCUGUGGCCCUUACCGUUGGUGUUCAGAUAAUUAGUGUGGCAUUUUAACUGGUGGUCUAUUGGCUUUCCAAACAUCAUAGAUUGUAAUGCUAAUAGGCCAAGACCAAAACUGAAAGGCUCUAGGGAGUUGCUGAACACCAUAUAUGGUGAUGCUGAUAGGCCAGCACAAUAUUUCUGCUUGGUCUGUUAUCCUCUGGUUCCAUAUUUUUGUCCACUCUCCAUUAUAGUAUACAAUGCAGGUUGUGCAUAGCAUUGCUAUUAAAUAGUCCUCACUUUUCAUUGUUGCUUACUGCCAUUCAUGUGCAGCGUGUUGCCAUUAAACGAGAACUCAUUGCUUUGACAACCCUGAUAGAAUUGAGGGUUGGUUAGCCACUACUAGUAGUAGUAACUAAGACUAUUAGGUCUUUGUUUCUAAGCAUAAGUUGAAGAGUUUUUUUUUUCUAACUCAAUCGAAUUGCUUUUCCAGUGGAUGGUUACUUACCUUCCAAUAGUAUCGAUAGGAGUCUAUCACGCGAUAAGUGUAUGUUUGAUUCUCAGUAUAUUCGUGUUCCCUAUCCCACGUAAUAGAAAUGCUAAUCUGUUGUUUUUUCUUUGUAUAGUUGAAUUAUAUGACUAAGUUCUUUC